GUUUGACUAAUGACAUUUUCUUGUUUGCAGGAUGAAAGCUGUAUCACGUUGCGUGACCUAAAAGGUUCUAAACUUUCGGGAAGUGUUUUCAAUAUCCUUUUCAAUCUCAACAAGUUCAUGGCCUUUGAAUCUCGCGAUCCGUUCCUCAUUCGUCAGGAACGCGAGAAUCCUAAAUUGACGGAGUGGGACCGUUUUGCACAUAGAGAAUACAUUCGGCUUUCAAUGGAAGAAGAUGUGGAAGAUGCCUCGAACGGAAGUGCAGAAGUUUGGGAUGAGUCACUUGAGGCUCCCUUCUAAGUUUGAAGGGUGCUUAGAGAAGAGCUCAACACAUUGCUUAUCUGCUGGGCGACGACAGAAAGGGAAUGUUGCCUUGAAUGGGCGAUGAAGAUUCAUCAGAACUCUUUGGAGAAAAUUUGAGCUUGGCCUUGUGCAG